rnacentral:siRNA from 1 species
GGUUUCGUGGUGUAGUUGGUUAU